UGGGGAAUCUUCCGCAAUGGACGAAAGUCUGACGGAGCAACGCCGCGUGGGUGACGAAGGUUUUCGGAUCGUGAAACCCUGUCAAGAAGGAAGAAAAAAGACGGUACUUCUGAAGGAAGCCCCGGCUAACUACGUGCCAGCAGCCGCGGUAAUACGGGGGGUGCAAGCGUUGUCCGGAAUCAUUGGGCGUAGAGCGUUCGUAGGCGGUAUGUCAAGUCUGGUGUUAAAGCCCGAGGCUCAACCUCGGUUCGGCAUUGGAUACUGGCAAACUAGAAUGUGGUAGAGGUAAAGGGAAUUCCUGGUGUAGCGGUGAAAUGCGUAGAUAUCAGGAGGAACAUCGGUGGCGAAAGCGCUUUACUGGACCAUUAUUGACGCUGAGGAACAAAAGCCAGGGGAGCAAAUG
rnacentral:rRNA from 1 species